rnacentral:rRNA from 1 species
CCUACGGGUGGCAGCAGUGGGGAAUAUUGGACAAUGGGCGAAAGCCUGAUCCAGCCAUGCCGCGUGUGUGAAGAAGGCCUUCGGGUUGUAAAGCACUUUCAGUGGGGAAGAAAGCCUUGGGGCUAAUACCCUCGAGGAAGGACAUCACCCACAGAAGAAGCACCGGCUAACUCCGUGCCAGCAGCCGCGGUAAUACGGAGGGUGCGAGCGUUAACCGGAAUUACUGGGCGUAAAGCGCGCGUAGGCGGUCUGAUAAGCCGGUUGUGAAAGCCCCGGGCUCAACCUGGGAACGGCAUCCGGAACUGUCAGGCUAGAGUGCAGGAGAGGAAGGUAGAAUUCCCGGUGUAGCGGUGAAAUGCGUAGAGAUCGGGAGGAAUACCAGUGGCGAAGGCGGCCUUCUGGACUGACACUGACGCUGAGGUGCGAAAGCGUGGGUAGCAAACAGGAUUAGAUACCCCAGUAGUC